rnacentral:rRNA from 1 species
GAUGAACGCUGGCGGCGUGCUUAACACAUGCAAGUCGAACGGAAAGGCCCUGCUUUUGUGGGGUGCUCGAGUGCCGAACGGGUGAGUAACACGUGAGUAACCUGCCCUUGUCUUUCGGAUAACUUCAGGAAACUGGGGUUAAUACCAGAUAGGAGCUCCUGCUCCAUGGUGGGGGUUGGAACGUUGCGGCGGUCGUGGAUGGACUCGCGGCUUUUCAGCUUGUUGGUUGGGGAGUGGCUUACCCAGGGUUUGGCGGGUCGGCGGCCUGAGAGGGUGGCCGGCCACCUGGCGCCUGCGAUACGGCCCAGACUCCAACGGUGGGCAACGGUGGCGAAUAUGGCACAAUGGGCGGAAGCCUGAUGCAGCAACGCCGCGUGUGUGAUGACGGCCUUCGGGUUGUAAACAGCUUUCGCCUGUGACGAAGCGUGAGUGACGGUAAUGGGUAAAGAAGCACCGGCUAACUACGUG